CAGGAGUCUUAAAGGGUGGGUCGCCCCAUUCGAGGGCUCCUCCAUGUUGUAAAAUCACCAUCAUCAUCAUCAUCAUAAAAGACUCACAGAGCUGGGACGUUGCAAAUGCAGUGACUGAAGGAGAAGUUUACAGGACAGAGACUCCGCCCUCUUAUA